GACGAACGCUGGCGGCGUGCUUAACACAUGCAAGUCGAACGAUGAAGCCGGAGCUUGCUCUGGUGAAUUAGUGGCGAACGGGUGAGUAACACGUGAGUAACCUGCCCUUGACUCUGGGAUAACUGCUAGAAAUGGUAGCUAAUACCGGAUACGACCCUCGGAGGCAUCUUCAGGGGGUGGAAAGAAUUUCGGUCAAGGAUGGACUCGCGGCCUAUCAGCUAGUUGGUGAGGUAACGGCUCACCAAGGCGACGUCGGGUAGCCGGCCUGAGAGGGUGACCGGCCACACUGGGACUGAGACACGGCCCAGACUCCUUCGGGAGGCAGCAGUGGGGAAUAUUGCACAAUGGGCGCAAGCCUGAUGCAGCAACGCCGCGUGAGGGAUGACGGCCUUCGGGUUGUAAACCUCUUUUAGUAGGGAAGAAGCGAAAGUGACGGUACCUGCAGAAAAAGCACCGGCUAACUACGUGCCAGCAGCCGCCGCGG
rnacentral:rRNA from 1 species